UACCUGUUGCGCCAAGCGAGCGAUGCGCUU
rnacentral:sRNA from 1 species